AUCUGAGUUGAGGUGCUUCACUUAGGCAAAAGUAGUGCUUUGCUGCCAUCUUGCUGCACCGUGGUGCCAACAAUGUUGAAGCGCUUCGUUUAGACAAGAGUGGUUUGCUGCCAUUUUGCUGCCUCUUGGUUCCAAGGAGGCGGCCCGGUAUGAGUUGAGGAACUUCACUUUGACAAAAGUACGGCUUUGCCGCCAUUUCAUGGUAUCUGCAGACAAUACUGACCUUUUUUUAGGGGGUGUCCGCACAAAUUGCAGUUCACUGUAUUCAGUCAGGAUCCCUAAUGCGUAUGGGCGG